rnacentral:rRNA from 1 species
UGAGGAAGUAAAAGUCGUAACAAGGUCUCCGUUGGUGAACCAGCGGAGGGAUCAUUGCUGGAACGCGCCCCAGGCGCACCCAGAAACCCUUUGUGAACUUAUACCUUACUGUUGCCUCGGCGCAUGCCGGCCCCCAGGGGCCCCUCGGAGACGAGGAGCAGGCACGCCGGCGGCCAACCUAACUCUUGUUUUUACACUGAAACUCUGAGAAAAAAAAACAAAAUGAAUCAAAACUUUCAACAACGGAUCUCUUGGUUCUGGCAUCGAUGAAGAACGCAGCGAAAUGCGAUAAGUAAUGUGAAUUGCAGAAUUCAGUGAAUCAUCGAAUCUUUGAACGCACAUUGCGCCCUCCGGUAUUCCGGAGGGCAUGCCUGUUCGAGCGUCAUUUCAACCCUCAAGCACUGCUUGGUGUUGGGGCACUGCUCCUCUCGCGGGGAGCAGGCCCUGAAAUCCAGUGGCGAGCUCGCCAGGACCCCGAGCGCAGUAGUUAAACCCUCGCUCUGGAAGGCCCUGGCGGUGCCCUGCCGUUAAACCCCCAACUCUUGAAAAUUUGACCUCGGAUCAGGUAGGAAUACCCGCUGAACUUAAGCAUAUCAAUAAGCGGAGGA